CUUUUAUUCCAUCGUAGGUGAAAGCGGGAUCAAUUGUACAAAUUCAGCUCACUUUCCUCCGAUUUCGGGAUUUAUUCUUUAUAUGGUUAAAUCUUACUAGUUAUUAUUUUCCUUCACCAUGUACAAAAGUAGCUCCCAAGUAUAUGGCAAGUACACUUGUAGAUCUGCAUUGGACACUUUGGUGUAAAGUAAAUAUCUUCUGAAGCAGGUGAUAUUCUCUGCUUUUAGUAACGGUUUUAGUUGCGUCAAAACUUAAAUUAAUUAUCUCGUGUUGCUUUUAAUUUUUGUUCAGCAAUUUCUAUGAAGUUUAUUUUCCUUAAAGUUUCAGCCUUAAUUACCUGUAAUUCGCCCAACCUCUUCAAGCGUGGCUCGGUACUUAUGCAUCCCGCUAGAUUAUUGUUGUAUUUUGGUUUUUUUUUCGUUUUAUCUUACGUGCUUUGUCUAUUUAUCAGAAUUGGGUUUCUGGGUUAAUGGACUGUUGCUUGACUGUUGUUAUUGAACUUAACCAACAGCACACCUUACGGACUUAGCGGGAUGAGUAAUGACCU
rnacentral:lncRNA from 1 species